GAUGAACGCUGGCGGCGUGCCUAAUACAUGCAAGUCGAGCGAACAGACGAGGAGCUUGCUCCUCUGACGUUAGCGGCGGACGGGUGAGUAACACGUGGAUAACCUACCUAUAAGACUGGGAUAACUUCGGGAAACCGGAGCUAAUACCGGAUAAUAUAUUGAACCGCAUGGUUCAAUAGUGAAAGACGGUUUUGCUGUCACUUAUAGAUGGAUCCGCGCCGCAUUAGCUAGUUGGUAAGGUAACGGCUUACCAAGGCAACGAUGCGUAGCCGACCUGAGAGGGUGAUCGGCGACACUGGAACUGAGACACGGUCCAGACUCCUACGGGAGGCAGCAGUAGGGAAUCUUCCGCAGAGGGCGAAAGCCUGACGGAGCAACGCCGCGUGAGUGAUGAAGGUCUUCGGAUCGUAAAACUCUGUUAUUAGGGAAGAACAAGUGUGUAAGUAACUAUGCACGUCUUGACGGUACCUAAUCAGAAAGCCACGGCUAACUACGUG
rnacentral:rRNA from 1 species